rnacentral:rRNA from 1 species
GACGAACGCUGGCGGCGUGCUUAACACAUGCAAGUCGAACGAAGAGCGAUGGAAGCUUGCUUCUAUCAAUCUUAGUGGCGAACGGGUGAGUAACGCGUAAUCAACCUGCCCUCCAGAGGGGGACAACAGUUGGAAACGACUGCUAAUACCGCAUACGAUCUAAUCUCGGCAUCGAGGAUAGAUGAAAGGUGGCCUCUACAUGUAAGCUAUCACUGAAGGAGGGGAUUGCGUCUGAUUAGCUAGUUGGAGGGGUAACGGCCCACCAAGGCGAUGAUCGGUAGCCGGUCUGAGAGGAUGAACGGCCACAUUGGGACUGAGACACGGCCCAGACUCCUACGGGAGGCAGCAGUGGGGAAUCUUCCGCAAUGGACGAAAGUCUGACGGAGCAACGCCGCGUGAGUGAUGACGGCCUUCGGGUUGUAAAGCUCUGUUAAUCGGGACGAAAGGCCUUCUUGCGAAUAGUGAGAAGGAUUGACGGUACCGGAAUAGAAAGCCACGGCUAACUACGUG